rnacentral:rRNA from 1 species
CCUACGGGAGGCAGCAGUGGGGAAUUUUGGACAAUGGACGCAAGUCUGAUCCAGCCAUGCCGCGUGUGGGAAGAAGGCCUUCGGGUUGUAAACCACUUUUGUCAGGGAAGAAACGGUCUGGGUUAAUACCUUGGGCUAAUGACGGUACCUGAAGAAUAAGCACCGGCUAACUACGUGCCAGCAGCCGCGGUAAUACGUAGGGUGCAAGCGUUAAUCGGAAUUACUGGGCGUAAAGCGUGCGCAGGCGGUUAUGCAAGACAGAUGUGAAAUCCCCGGGCUCAACCUGGGAACUGCAUUUGUGACUGCAUGGCUAGAGUACGGUAGAGGGGGAUGGAAUUCCGCGUGUAGCAGUGAAAUGCGUAGAUAUGCGGAGGAACACCGAUGGCGAAGGCAAUCCCCUGGACCUGUACUGACGCUCAUGCACGAAAGCGUGGGGAGCAAACAGGAUUAGAUACCCUGGUAGUCCACGCCCUAAACGAUGUCAACUGGUUGUUGGGAGGGUUUCUUCUCAGUAACGUAGCUAACGCGUGAAGUUGACCGCCUGGGGAGUACGGCCGCAAGGUUGAAACUUAAAGGAAAUUGACGG